GUCUUUUGGUUUCGAGUUGCUUGAAUUUGUAACCUGGAUAUUUCACUUUGAGUUUUUAUGUUUGAAAUAGUCAAAACCAAGAUCAGCAUUUUAUGCAAAUACCAACAUCUUACACUACUUCCUUAAUGAAAUAGUCAUUGUAGGGAAGAGUUUGAAUUGUCAGGUUAAUCCAGCUGAAAAUAUUAGCAGAAACAGUCCCUUUCUGAGGAGUCAUCUAGCAACCCUCUGAUUGAAGGAUUGCCUUCCAGUAGGAAAAAAUUACUCUGUUUGCCCUUCUAGGGCUGGGCCUUUAAAUUUGAGAAAGGGAAGCAGCUGCGGGCCUAAAGUGGCCAUUUUCCAGCUGACAAAUGCUUGUUUCAGCUGCCUGUUUUUCAGUUGGAUGUGUACGCAAAUUUAUAUUGGUGCCAUUGUGUUGAUGAUGCAACUGUAGAAUACACAGCUGCCCCCUCCCCUUCCUGGACCUCAAGUGUAUCAUCUCCCAGUGUACCCAAGAUAUCUCAGAUGUAAGAAUGAGCAUGAAUGAGAGCUCAGAUUCUGCUAAUGUAUAUUCUAUUUCCUUUUAAAAGGAACUAGCCAGUAGACCUGUUUGAAAUUACUAGAGAUCACUUUACCAACCACAAAAAUGGAGUGACAGCUGAGCUGGAAGCCAGUAAUCCUGUACUGCCGCCAGCUACUUCACACAACAAUGUAAGGCUAAAGGAAUACAGGAGAAAGCUUAUUCAACUAAAGAACCUGAGGAAAUUGGUGCUGUUGGAGGAGCUGACAGUAAAGGUGAUGACAGGCAUGUCUAGAAAGGACAUUAAUGUUCCCGAAGGAGCUUCUGUCUAUAUUUUACAGCAGGCAUAUCUUAGUGGAUUUAUGCUACCCUGAACAUAUUUAUUUAAGAGGAAUCUCAACCACAAAGAGAUUGUGACCCAAGAUACACAGGAAGUCUGUAGCAGAACCAGGAACAGAAUCUCAACCACUGGGGUCUUUCUGUGCCUUAAGCACAAGGCCAUUUUUCUUCCCCUCUCACUAAAUCCAUGCAAUAAAGAACAUUUUAUAUUGUGUAUGGUAUACAUAUACUCCAUGGAAGUCCACAAGGAUAUCUUUUAAAAAUGUAAUGUCAUGUCAUAACGCAAGCACUGCAUGGACUGUGCUUUCCUGAUUACACUUGCAGAAUUAUGGUUCCUUAUAACUCAAUAAAUGUCUUCCAAUUAUGUGCAACCUGUAACAAAUGGGGGUCAGUGUACCAAAAGUUUCUGUCAGCACAUGGUGAGUCUUCAGCGGCAGGAUUUCUCACCAACUUUCCUCCUUCGCGCUUCAGGAAAUGUGCAGCUAGCAGCUCAAAACUGAGAGGACUUCAUAACGCAAGUGACAAAUACUGGGAAAUGUCUCACUCUGCCAGUUAAACUUCAGAACGAAGCUAACAAACAUCAAGAGCUUUCCCUUCAAUCAGUCUCACUCGGCCUAUUUCACUCAAAUGCAGUUAGAAGAUAACAAAUUUCAGAAUGUCCAAAUAAUCCUAAAUGCUUCUUACAAUAGCUUGCAGCAGACAACACUGAGUCCCAAAAGUCUCAAUAUACCAAAAUAUAUACAUCAGUUGUCAAAACCGAAUAAUUUAUAGUCUCAUUUAAUCUAGUGCAAUCUUGGAAAGAAGUCGAAGUAGCAGGCACGUAGAGUACAGUAGCACAAGUUUCUUCUCCUGAGCUGGAGGAGGUAAGGAAGAAUCUUUUUAUUUCUGAACCCCUCAAUUAAACUUUUCCUUGAUGGAAGCUGAUGAAAAUCUGAGCCAUUGAAAAUUUAUAUGUUUGUAAAGUAUAUUGGUGAGUUAUCCUUUAAUGAAUUUCCUGUUAGCCUUUGCAGCACUACUACAGGAUAGACACAAGCAUAAAAUUUAAUAAUUAACAUAGUUUAGGAUCAGCUAGUCAAUUUCCAACAAAAGGUUAGUGUGCAUUUUGAAGAAGCAUAAUUUGGAG